GAUCAUCCAAAACCCUUUACCAAGGGUGUGAAAAUUAAUGAAAGGACCGCUCAUUUUAGAAUAGAGUUGGAGGCCAGCAGGGGGCGCUCCUAGGCCCUACCACUUGUCAACUGCAGACCCAACAGGAAGAGCCAGACCUUGCAGUGAACACUACUUCAUUAUCCCUUGAGGAGGAGAGACUUUCUUCCUCCCUCGGCAACAGCCCAGCCAAUGAGAGAGAGUCACAGCUCAGCCAAUGAAAAGUCACUAUCCUUUAAACUCCCAGUUUAGUCCAAUGGGCUUUUUGUUUAUAACAGCCCUCCCAACUGCCCUCUUCUCUUUUGGUCUGUGUGCUUGCCUAUAGUUUUGCGGUAGCGUGCUUGUCCUUGAUCGCGGUUCCCGGCCAUUCAAGAUAAAACCGCGGUUUGCUGGUAAAAUAACGGCCGUUUUAUUUUUUAAGGCUUCGAUCGGCACAUCCUGAAAGGUCUCAGCCUGAAAAUCAGGUGGAAACGCGAGGAGGAGCUGCAGGGCCAGCCGGUCAUGGUGGGAAAGGGGCAGGACAGCGCUCAGGCGUGGGUUCCCAGUCUGGUGGAGGAGUCCUGAGAUGCCGUUCAGGAGACAUCUGUGCUGUGAAAGUGAAUACCGCUGGGGAGUGGCUUGCAGAAUGGGACAAAGCAGAGAGGUUUAGAAGACCAACCUGCCAGCAGAGGGAUCUAAUAAUAUGGAAACGAUAACCUUCCCUCCUCCUUCACACAGUAACUUCCUAGCAUAAAUCUGCAAACUUCCCUACCACUGACCCAAAUUGUCUCUGCGCAAUAAAUGAAGAUCAGAAUUUUAAACAUCAA